rnacentral:rRNA from 1 species
GGUGUGGGUAGCGGAGAAAUUCCAAUCGAACUCGGAGAUAGCUGGUUCUCCCCGAAAUAGCUUUAGGGCUAGCCUUGAGUUAGACACACGGAGGUAGAGCACUGAAUAGCCGCGGGGGCGUCAAAGCCUACCAAAGCUUAUCAAACUCCGAAUGCCGCGUUGCCGAUGCUCAGGAGUCAGACUGCACGAGAUAAGUUGGGUGGUCGAGAGGGAAAGAGCCCAGAUCUACAGCUAAGGUCCCAAAGUACGUGUUAAGUGGAAAAGGAUGUGAGGUUUCGAAGACAACUAGGAUGUUGGCUCAGAAGCAGCCACUCAUUCAAAGAGUGCGUAAUAGCUCACUAGUCGAGAGAUCUUGCGCCGAAAAUGUCCGGGGCUAAAACACGACACCGAAGCUUAGGAAUCACUAUGUGAUUGGUAGGGGAGCAUUGCUAGAGGAACGAAGCGGUACCGUAAGGAGCCGUGGACUUCUAGGAAGAGAGAAUGCCGGAAUGAGUAGCGAGACGAAGGUGAGAAUCCUUCGGGCCGAAUAUCUAAGGUUUCCAGAGUAAAGCUGAUCUGCUCUGGGUAAGUCGGGACCUAAGGCGAGGACGAAAGUCGUAGUCGAUGGAUAACAGGUAGAGAUUCCUGUACUCCUCAUAAUCAGAAAUGUGGGGACACGGGUGGAGAGCCUGGCCGCAGAAUGGAAAGCUGCGGACAAGCAAGGUACCGUGUAGGGAGGCAAAUCCCCCUACUAUAACGGGAAUAUGUGAUGUGGAGCGAACCAAAGGGUAGCGAAGCAGGUGAGCCAGCCGUCGAGAAAAGCCGCUAUUGUGUUAUGAGGACCCGUACCGCAAACCGACACAGGUAGAUGAGGAGAGAAUCCUAAGGCCGACGGGAGAAGCAUUGUUAAGGAACUCGGCAAAAUGACCCCGUAACUUCGGGAGAAGGGGUGCCAUAGAAAUAUGGCCGCAGAGAAUAGGUCCAAGCAACUGUUUAGCAAAAACACAGGUCUAUGCGAAACCGGAAGGUGAAGUAUAUGGGCUGACGCCUGCCCGGUGCUGGAAGGUUAAGGGGAGUGCUUAGAGCUUGCCUCGAAGGUGCGAACUUAAGCCCCAGUAAACGGCGGCCGUAACUAUAACGGUCCUAAGGUAGCGAAAUUCCUUGUCGGGUAAGUUCCGACCCGCACGAAAGGCGUAAUGAUUUGGACGCUGUCUCGACAAUGCACCCGGUGAAAUUGAAGUACCAGUGAAGAUGCUGGUUACCCGCGCCAGGACGGAAAGACCCCAUGGAGCUUUACUCCAGCUUGAUACUGGGAUUCGGUGCGGCAUGUACAGGAUAGGUGGGAGACUAUGAUCCCGGGACGCCAGUCUCGGAGGAGUCGCUGUUGGGAUACCACCCUUGCCGUAUUGGGUUUCUAACCAUCCACCGUUAUCCGGUGGGGGGACAAUGUCAGGUGGGGAGUUUGACUGGGGCGGUCGCCUCCGAAAGGGUAUCGGAGGCGCUCAAAGGUUCCCUCAGAAUGGUCGGAAACCAUUCGAAGAGUGCAAAGGCAGAAGGGAGCUUGACUGCGAGAGCGACGGCUCGAGCAGGUACGAAAGUAGGACUUAGUGAUCCGGUGGUAUAACGUGGGAUUGCCAUCGCUCAACGGAUAAAAGCUACCCUGGGGAUAACAGGCUUAUCACUCCCAAGAGUUCACAUCGACGGAGUGGUUUGGCACCUCGAUGUCGGCUCAUCGCAUCCUGGGGCUGUAGUAGGUCCCAAGGGUUGGGCUGUUCGCCCAUUAAAGCGGUACGCGAGCUGGGUUCAGAACGUCGUGAGACAGUUCGGUCCCUAUCCGGCGCGGGCGUAGGAUAUUUGAGAGGAGCUGCCCUUAGUACGAGAGGACCGGGGUGGACUGACCUCUGGUGUACCGGUUGUUCUGCCAAGAGCAUCGCCGGGUAGCCAAGUCGGGACGGGAUAAACGCUGAAGGCAUCUAAGCGUGAAGCCCCCCUCAAGAUGAGAUAUCCCUGGCUUUA